rnacentral:rRNA from 1 species
GCUUACGGCCAUACCACCCUGAGCACGCUCUGAUGUCGGAAGCUAAGCAGGGUCGGGCCUGGUUGGUACUUGGAUGGGAGACCGCCUGGGAAUACCAGGUGCUGUAAGCU